AUUGGAAGUAAAAGUCGUAACAAGGUUUCCGUAGGUGAACCUGCGGAAGGAUCAUUAAAAGUAAAUAUGUAUUCCCUCGAAUAUACAUUUCUAAACCCAUCUGCGUACCUUACCCGUUGCUUCCGCGAGGCAGUGAUCCCGGUCACCCCCAGGUGAUGGCGAAGGCCAUCCGACGGGGAGCACUCGCGAAAGGUAUACAACAAACCCUUGGAUCUCCAUGUCAUCUGUCUGAAACUGUUUAUGACAAAUGUUAAAACUUUCAACAACGGAUCUCUUGGUUCUCGCAUCGAUGAAGAACGCAGCGAAAUGCGAUAAGUAGUGUGAAUUGCAGAAUUCAGUGAAUCAUCGAAUCUUUGAACGCACAUUGCGCCUCCUGGUAUUCCGGGAGGCAUGCCUGUUCGAGCGUCAUUAAAAACCACUCGGGCCAUUUCAUAAUGGCUUGGUAUUGGGAGAGGAGUGCACCCGUUGCCCUCCCUUCCGAAAUGCAAUGGCGGAAAGCCCCACGUGCCCCGGCGUAGUAAGUCUUUCUUUCGCUCGGAACGUUGGGUGAUCCUGCCGUCAAACCCCCAAUUCUUUUACAGGUUGACCUCGGAUCAGGUAGGGAUACCCGCUGAACUUAAGCAUAUCAAUAAGCGGAGGA
rnacentral:rRNA from 1 species